ACUAUCUCGUGAGAAGGAAAAACAAGGAAACCGAGUCGCAUGCAGAAAACUAUCUCGUCGCUCGCACCAAGACGAUGGAAACCAACGAAGAGAGCAUUGGAGAGACGCGUCGUUUCUUCACCAGCGAUUCCCUCGCCAUCCCGAUCCCUUGCGCCCACGCCUCCGCUCUGCCGCCAUGCCCAGCCUGCGCACGAGGUGCUUGCAAUCUGAUAAAUCCAUCCUCCUCCCCAGCUACAAUAUGAUAGAUCCAAAUCCCACUACUCCCCAGCUACAAUCUGAUAAAUCUAUCCUCAAUCCAUCAUCCCCGAGUAAGGAACCGUACGCAAGUAGUGCCCAAGAAGAAAGCGGAGGUCAAGUCCGGCCGCCGGUGGAGCUCCAAGAGCCGGCGGUGCUCCAAUCGUCGGUGUUUCUUCCACCGCUAGAGCUCCAGUCUUCCAUCCUCCGACCGUCCAUAGUGGUGCUCCAGGAGCAGGGAUGCUAGCAUUGAUCCAUUGUGGCUAGGAGCGUCUUCUGGUAGCUCAAAUUGAAUGCAUGCCACACUUGAUCCUUCACUAUCUAGUUGACAUGCAAAGAGCCAUUAAAUUUUCUUCUCUAUGAAAACUACUGUAGACACUUUGCAUUGGGGAGGUAGUGUCUAGUUGAACAUUAAUUAUUCUCUUUCUUCUCUAGACACUACCCAUAGACACCAUGGGUUGGGACUGCCCUGAAACUGGCUUGAAUAUUCAGCAAUCCAGGGACACGUACUGUAUCGCCAACGCGAGGCAUGUUGACCUACACUCUUCCUGAAGAUUCUGGCUGAAAUUUCAAUGAUUUCAGUUAAAUAUAUAAACUAUCUUCAUAGUGUACCCUAGUGUCAAUUGGGCACUCAACCUGCUGCUCCGGAAGCAUGGAUUUUGUUCAUUUCUUCGAGUUACGUACGUGCUUGCAAGAUGAACUUGUGCAGAUGUUUAAUGGUUUGUCUAAUCGGAUAUGACAAAACCUUUCAAGCUGA